AUUUGUUAUCUUGUCUGUAAUGCCAUUUCUGUAUUUUCUGUAUCCCAUUCUGCUUUCUUGUAUUUAUAUAUUUGCUUUUCAGGUGCUUGUUGGAGUUGGAGAGAGAAGGAGGCAAGGACAGGAAGGUGGUCACUUCCCACGUCUUGGCUGACGGAGAAGCUAAGAAGUUUAGCAGCCAAGUCCGGGGAGCAGAGGACAAGAUCAAGGAUGUCUGCCGUGGAGGUUGAAGAAUGGAUGUGUGUGGGCUCGUUGGUGUUGAGGAUGGCCAGUAGCUCACUCUCUCUGAAGCAGAGAUUCCCCCUGAACAGCGGCACUGUGAGCAGAAGUAGAGACUCAGUCUAGUGCAGGAGGACCCAGAGCCCACACAGAUCAAAGAGGAACAGGGGGAACUCAGUCUUGAGACUCAUACUAAAGACUCCAUAUUCACUCCUGCUUAUGAUGAGGACCCAACUCAACCCUCACAUCCCUAUCAAGUCCAAAAGGAAGGAAACAGAGAGAGAGAGACACUCUAUCCAGCACUACAACUGAACAGAUCAAAACAGAACCUGAUGGAGAGGACUACGGAGAAUCAGAACCAACCAGUGUCUUUUAGCCCCUCUCUGCAGUAAAUCCAUAACGUUCUGCAGCUCAGAGUGAAAACGGUGAAAGUGGGAUGGAGACUGGCGGGCCUCCGUCAGGUUAAGUCAGUCAAAUCACAGAGAAUAAAGAUGGUAAAAUUACAAAGCUCCCUUAUCAACACUAAGGAUAACAAAUCCACACAGUUGUCCCUCCUGAAAUCACCCAGUCAAAGUCACGCUAAUCCCUGUUGUAAUUGUGUGGCACAUCUUUUCAUCACAUGGGCUCAUUGAUUAAACAUGUUCAAACUCAUACUAAGUAUAAAGAACAGCUUUGUGGAGUGUGUGGAAAACAUUUUCAGUCCACAGAAAGUAUGAAAGAUUACCUCAACUCACAUUGCACCUAGGUUUUGUUGUUGUGUUUGUAGUGAAUGGUUCACCUUCAACAAUAAGCUGAUAAUGCACAUGAGAAGCCACACAGGGGAGAAAUCUUUUCCCUGCCCUGAUUGUGGUGCAUCCUUCAAUCCAAAUGGUCUGAAAAUACACCUGAAGAAUUACACAAAAAAGAAACCACAUCACUGCCCU
rnacentral:lncRNA from 1 species